rnacentral:tmRNA from 1 species
GGGGUUGACCGGUUUUGACAGCGUGUAGAGGUGGUGUGUAAGCAUGCAGAGCAAUGAUGGCUACGCUCUUUAAUCUGGGACAUCAAAAUUUCAAAUGGCGAAAAUAACUACGCUCUUGCUGCCUGAUUGAAGCACAGUAGAUCGGCUUAAUCUCCGCGACAGUCGCAGAGACAAGACAUCGCCCGAUUGUCGUCGUCCCGAGACUAAUCGACAAGGCGGUGCAGGUAAAUCGGGAAUAGGACACCGAGAGCCUCGCGAGGCGUCCGAAAUCUUAGAGGCUAAGGCUGAGGUUGGUGGUUUCCGGCCUGCCGCAGCUCGAAAACCAAGCAGAAACUAAGCAUGUAGAAAGCAUAUUAACUCCGCGUUUGGACGGGGGUUCGACUCCCCCCAGCUCCACUA